UUGUUUUACCACUCUCUAACUGAAAGUUACAAAUCGAGAAACCAAUCUAAACUGUAUGUAUACAUGUAGAGAUGUACAGCUGGUACAACUGAAAGAAAGAAAAUAAAACAUAAUUAAGCGUGUUCAGGAAUAUUGAAGGUUGAUUUGUUCUGGAGUAAGAAGCAAGAUGGUGAAAGAUAAAAGGAGUGAAAAUGACAAACACAGCUGUCAACCUCAGGAUAGAAGAUACAACUUCGGUUAUGGCGAAAAUUCGUCGGGUGUUCACCACAACUUACCUCAUACUACUUCCACUCCAUCAUGGACAACUGCCUCACACAACCAGUCACAGCUACAGAGGCAGACACAAGCCUGGGGUUCUGUGUUCAAGAACAGAGCACACUUUGUAGAAAUGCAUUUGGUUUAACAAACUUGAUUGAUAGCUAGUCUGUAAAUGGAUAUAAUUAUGUGUAUAAAUGAAAUACAGUGUUGUUGUACUAUUGGUAUGUGAUAUUUUAUACUUAGCUAUUUGCCGUUAUUUCUAUAAUCUGAAUUGAUUUGAUUAACGUAUGGGUAUGUGUUCAUGCAUUUAUAUUUAUAUGUUAAGUCUGAAAAUUUAGAUUCCUAUUGAUAUAUAUGUUCAUACAUUGUUUGUACAAGUUUGUUUUAUUUUAUUAUAUUAUCCUCUCUGUGAGAGUUGCUUUUUGUUUGUGCUAGGAAUACAGAUUUGUGCUACAGUACUUCAGUAAUAGUUUCUGACAUUCCUUUCUUAACCUUUAGCCUGCUAGCGGCAAGUUAUUCUGCCUUUGCGACAUCCGUGCAGUCUGAUCAUGGUCUGCACUGUUCGCUAUUCAGUCAGUAAAUUUUCAGUGAAAACCCCUUUGAAUAAUAAGUGGUACUGUCCAAAUUAAAAGACGGACCAGUCCAUUAUAGAAAUAUAGCAGGGUAAGGGUUAAAGAGGCAUUAUAAUGAAGCAGGAACUUUUUUCUAAAAGAAAUUCUAUGUUUAAUUUUCACUGCGUUAACUAUUUUGGUUUAACUAUAGAUUUGCUUUGUUGAUACUGCAUAGUUCUGGUAAGCAUUUUUUUCUCGAUUUGCAUAAAACUAAAUAUUUCUUAAUUUGUACAGUUUUGUUUUCAGCAAUUCAUAUUAAUUAAUUAGGCAUGUGGUCUUGCUGUCCUUUUCGAAUGCAAGCAAUGAAGCAGAUAUAUUUUCAUUUUGGUAGGAUAUUGUAUAUUUCAGAUGUAUUUGAAAUCGACUGAAUAUUUUUAUAAUAGUCAUUUACUUUAUGAAAUGUCCUCCUCUUUCCAUACUGGUAUCUAAUAAGCCAUAAUCAAAAGUGCAAUAAACAUUGAGUCAGUACAUUUUUGAUUUUUGCAUAUUUUUUAUGCAAGUUAAAUUCAGGUGAACCAUUUUCAGUUGUGCAUAGUUACUGUUUAUUUCUCUUUUUGUAAUGAAUUCAACUUUAUUGCAUUUGAUUAUAUAAGUAUUUUUCCGGUGAUUUUUUUCCUUUGAUGUUGUGUUCAUAGAUUUGGGUUGUAAAUUAACAGAUAUAGUCUUCAUUGCAUUAUAUCCACUGUCAGUUUUUACUAUCACUUUUUUGCCAGUUAGUUAAAAUACAUAUGAAUGUGUUUAAAGGUCUAUUGUUCAAUAAAAUGUUUUAAGUGUCAUGCAGUGAUAGCCAGUUGUUAAAAAAAACUUUCAGCUUCUGUUGGUCAUUUAUACUGUAUUUAAUUAUAAAUGUAUUAUGUAUGUAUUAUUUUAAACCUUUAAAUGCAUGGUAAUGUAAACCUAUAGAUAUAAAUUUCAUGUUUUCAUAAACUAUAAUUAUACAGAAAUUGUUCGUAUUUUCAUAUAUGAAAUUUGGGUGUAGAAUCUAGUAUACCUUUAAGCUUAUAACGAUUAAUUAUGAAUCAUUAAUGUAUAUAAAACUCUGCAAAAAUCUGGUUCACUGGAAGCCUUUCUGGGGCACUUACAUUUAAGAUGUUUAUGUCUAUUUCACAUACUGAAGGUCAGGCCCGGUGUUUGAAUUUUUAAUAUCAAUUUUACAAAAACCUCAAGGUUAAAUUCCAACGGAGACUAACCAUCAAUACUGAAUAGCCACUUGAAAAUAGUUAUUAACUUAAAAUUUAGUGUUAAACAUGCUAUUUAGAUAUAAAUGACAAAUAAAGUUUCAUUAUCAAACUUAGCUGAGACUGAAAAUGUUUUGUGAACAGGGGGCCAAGUGCAUUUCAGCUAAAAACAUGUAUAAAGCAAUUAGUUUUAAUCUAUACAUGAUAGUGUAAUAUAGAUGUCGAUAUUAACUUUUAUGAUGACAUUUCAAAAAUCACUUAGCAGGACAUGCUAGUUGUCAAAAAUUACUCACUAAUUUUCGCUUGUAUGCAUGUACCAAGUUAUCACCUAAUAUUUCACCAUUCAGUGUUAUACCUAUCUUACUAAAUUUUGUUAAAUGAAAAAAGCACCUUCCAUAUACUAGACUUCAUUCAUUCAAGAAAAAAAAUGAUAUGUAAUAUUAUAUUGUUUGAUUCAGUUUUCCAAAGAAAUGUUUUGGAAUUAAGUCAUUCAGAUGUAGUAUGGUAGAAAUUUGAAAAAGCUUUUCUUACAGGAGUGUAGAAAAAUAAUAUAGCUUUUACCUUUAGAACAUAAUCGAGCCACGCCAUGAGAAAACCAACAUAGUGGCUUUGCGACCAGCAUGGAUCCAGACCAGCCUGCGCAUCCACGCAGUCUGGUCAGGAUCCAUGCUGUUCACUAACGGUUUUUCUAAUUGCAAUAGGCUUUGAAAGUGAACAGCAUGGAUCCUGACCAGACUGCACAGAUGGAUCCUGACCAGCCUGUGCAGAUGCAAAGACUGGUCUGGAUCCAUGCUGGUCGCAAAGCCACUCUGUUGGUUUUCUCAUGGCGCGGCUCAUAUUAAUUAGCCUUUAAAAGUUUGAAAAAAAAAAACAUGCAAUUCUAAUGAUUCAAGUAUCAUGUCUGUAUAUCAAGGUGGUUCAUCAGAUUUUGUUCAAGUAUUAAAUGUAUUUGUUGAAAACUUUAAACAUCUGAUCAUUAUGUUUUCAACACAAAAAUUACGAUUUACACCCAAUUUCACGAAAAUGAUCAUUGCCAAGUGAUGUGAUCCAUUUUUUCAGAAUGUUUUGGUUCAGUGAUUUUCAAUGCAGUUAUGACAUUUUAUGAUGUUUUGACCAUUUCUGGUAUAUUAGUGGGUGGAUUUCCACCAAAACUUACAGGAGUGAUCGUUGCAAAGCCUAAUUCUGCAUAUAUUUGUCAUGUUCUGGUUCAGUGGUUUUUAUUGGAGUUAUGGCCCUUGAUUUGUUGUAGUUUACCUUGUCUGUGCAACUGCUCAGAUAACAGUAGGUGGAAUAACACCAAACUUCAUCAAAGUAUUCAUUGCCAGGCUUAGUUGUGCAUAUCAUUGGCAUUCUGUUUCAGUGAUUUUCAGUGGGGAUAUGGCCAUUUAUUUGUCAGAUUUUAUUAUAUUAUAGCUACUCUUACACCAUUAGGCAGACUCCCAACAAACCUUACUGCAGUUAUCAGUGGCAAGCCUAGUAACUGUUAUGCAUAUCAUAGGCAUGUCCUAGUGUAGUGAUUUUCAGGGGAGUAAUGGCCCUUAAUUAUGUCGUAGUUUACAGUGUUUACACUGCAUGCCAAAUACCAUUUUGGGUGAAUUUCACUAUACCUCACAAGUCAUCAUUGGGAAGCAUAGUUGUGCAGAUCAUCGGCAUGCUCUGGUUUAAUAAAAUACAGCAGAGUAAUGACCCUUGAUUUGUCAAAUUCUAUGUUAUCUGUGCUGAUUUUCUUUAUAUACCACUGAUUAAAAUUAACCCAACUUCACAUAAGUGAUCAGUGUCAAACCUAGUUGUAUAUAUCAUUGGAAUCUUAUGGUUUAAUGAUUUUCACUAGAGUUAUGGCCCUUUAUUUGCCGCAUUUAAUAAUGUCUGUCUUAAGUUGUGCGAGAUAUGUUUCCAUGGAAACAAUCUGGAGUUUACAUUAUUUAAGUUCAUAAAGUGCUUAAUUUUAGGUUUUCAUGAGAGGUAUUUUUGAAAUAUGCUUUUUCCUGCCCUGGUUUCCCAAUGUGGUAAACAUAUUUUGCUAAAUCUUGUUAGAUUAAGGUUAUUGUGUAUGAAGUUACGUUGUUUUCAUUGAAACAUACACAUUUUUGUGACACCGGUGACAUUACUUCUAGAUCAGCCCUCGAUUUUAUAAUGACAUUACUAAUAUAUCCAAAAGUCAUUGAAAUUUGUCUAGUAUUUUUUAGCUCACCUGAGCACAAAGUGCUCACGGUGAGCUAUUGUGAUCACGCUGUGUCCGGCCGUCAGGUUCGCCUGUCCGUCAUCAACAGUUGUGUUUAAACAUCUCCUCCAAAACCACUGAAAUGAUUUUAGUGAAACUUUGGUUGGAUGUUCCUUGCAUGAUCUCCUACCAAAAUUGUUCAAACGGUUCUGUUUGGUUGCACAUAAGGGCCGCCAGAGCUAAAAAAUAGAAAAAUCUUCAAACAACAUAUCCACCUACCGAUGGUCUGAUUUUGAAAUAAUUUCAUACAAAUGGUCCUUACGCCACCCUCUACCAAGUUUGUUGAAACUAUACCGAUUCCUUAAAAAACAUGGCCGCCAGGGGGCGUGGUCACUUUUCGCUAUAUGUUUAUAGUGGAAAUUAAAAAAAUCGUCUUCUGUGAAACUGCUGGCCCCAAUUUUAAAAUAAUUUUAUGCAAAUGGUCCUUGUGUGACCCUCUACCAAUUUUAUUCAAAUUAUUUUGAUUCGUCAAAAAACAUGGUCACCAGAGGGUGGGGUCACUUUUCCCUAUAUGUAUAAAGUGGAAACUUUGAAAAUCUUCUUAUGUGAAACUGCUAGGCUGAUUUUAAAAUAAUUUUACACUAAUGGUCCUUGUGUGACCCAUUACCAAGAUUGUCCAAAUUAUUCGGAUUCGUCAAAAAACAUGGCCGCAAGGGGGCAUGGUCACUUUUCCCUAGUGUAUAUAGUAGAAACUUAGAAAAUCUUCUUGUAUAAAAUUAACCCAAUUUUAAAAUAAUUUCACACAAAUUGUCUUUGUGUGACCUUCUACAAAUAUUGUUGUUUUUUUCUGAUUUGUCAAAAAACAUGGCCCCCAGAGAGCGUGGUUACUUUUCAUCAACAAUUUCUUUAAACAACAUUUCCGAAAUCACUGAAUAGAUUUUGAUGAAACUUUACACAAAUGAUCUCUGGGUAGCCCUCUUUCAAAAUUGUUCAAAUGGUUCCAGUUCAUUGAAAAUAUGGGUCUUUUUCAGUUAAAUAUAGGUUUUCAGCUGUCACACUUUAAAAAAUCUUUUUCUCUAAAGCGUUGGUAUUUGGCAUGUGAUAUAAAGGUUUGAUUCUACCAUAACUGUCCAAAUUAUUGCCCCAAGAUAAAAAAUGGCCACGCCCCUGUGUGACAUGUACUUACUACAGGCUUAUAUAUAAGAAACUUUGAAAAUCUUCUCUGAAUCAAUAAUAGCUAGAGCCUUGAUAUUUGGUGUGUGAUAUCAGAGUUGUACUGUCUACCGUAAUUGUUCAAAUUAUUGCCCAAGGUUCAAAAAUGUGUGUGAAAUGUAUAUAUAUAUAGGCUAACAUAGAAGAAACCUAACUCUGUACUUGUACCAUUCCGUUAUACAAACACACUUGAAGCCUUGUACACAGGUGAGCACUUUAGGGUCAAUGACCCUCUUGUUUAAAUAUUGAUUAGAAAUGUUAUAGGUAGCAUUUUUUUUUUCAAAGAAAAGAUGCUACAAUAGCAGGGGUAUCAUGUAAUGAUGAAUAAUCUUUAUGAAUUAUCAUAUUAUUUUGCAAAAAAGAAAGCCUGAUAUACUGGUAGUGUAUUAAAAUGAUGCAAAAUUUC